AUUGAACGCUGGCGGCAGGCCUAACACAUGCAAGUCGAGCGGAUGAAGGGAGCUUGCUCCUGGAUUCAGCGGCGGACGGGUGAGUAAUGCCUAGGAAUCUGCCUGGUAGUGGGGGAUAACGUCCGGAAACGGGCGCUAAUACCGCAUACGUCCUGAGGGAGAAAGUGGGGGAUCUUCGGACCUCACGCUAUCAGAUGAGCCUAGGUCGGAUUAGCUAGUUGGUGGGGUAAAGGCUUACCAAGGCGACGAUCCGUAACUGGUCUGAGAGGAUGAUCAGUCACACUGGAACUGAGACACGGUCCAGACUCCUACGGGAGGCAGCAGUGGGGAAUAUUCGACAAUGGGCGAAAGCUUGAUGCAGCCACGCCGCGUGUGUGAAGAAGGUCUUCGGAUCGUAAAGCACUUUAAGUUGGGAGGAAGGGAAGUAAGUGAAACCAUUGCUGUUUUGACGUUACCAAAAGAAUAAGCACCGGCUAACUUCGUG
rnacentral:rRNA from 1 species